rnacentral:rRNA from 1 species
GACGAACGCUGGCGGCGUGCUUAACACAUGCAAGUCGAACGGAAAGGCCCUGCUUGCAGGGUGCUCGAGUGGCGAACGGGUGAGUAACACGUGGGUGAUCUGCCCCUUAUUUUGGGAUAAGCCUGGGAAACUGGGUCUAAUACUGGAUAGGACCAUGCUGUUGGUGGUGUGGUGGAAAGAUUAGUUUCGGUAAGGGAUGAGCUCGCGGCCUAUCAGCUUGUUGGUGGGGUAAUGGCCUACCAAGGCGUCGACGGGUAGCCGGCCUGAGAGGGUGGACGGCCACAUUGGGACUGAGAUACGGCCCAGACUCCUACGGGAGGCAGCAGAGGGGAAUAUUGCACAAUGGGCGCAAGCCUGAUGCAGCGACGCCGCGUGGGGGAUGACGGCCUUCGGGUUGUAAACUCCUUUCAGCCAUGACGAAGCCCUUGUGGUGACGGUAGUGGUAGAAGAAGCACCGGCUAACUACGUG